rnacentral:rRNA from 1 species
GACGGGGGAUGCAAGCGUUAUACGGAAUCACUGGGCGUAAAGCGUCUGUAGGUGGUGAUGCAAGUCACUGGUGCAAAACUCUGGCUCAACCGGAGGAAAGCCAGUGAAACUGCAUGACUAGAGUGUGGGAGAGGUAGAAGGAAUUCCCUGAGUAGCGGUGAAAUGCGUAGAUACAGGGAAGAACACCGGAGGCGAAAGCGUUCUACUGGAACACAACUGACACUGAGAGACGAAAUCUAGGGGAGCGUAUGGG